GGCUCAGGACGAACGCUGGCGGCGUGCUUAACACAUGCAAGUCGAACGGUGAAGCCCUUCGGGGUGGAUCAGUGGCGAACGGGUGAGUAACACGUGAGCAACCUGCCCCUGACUCUGGGAUAACUACCGGAAACGGUGGCUAAUACCGGAUAUGACCUGUUCGGGCAUCCGAGUGGGUGGAAAGUUUUUCGGUUGGGGAUGGGCUCGCGGCCUAUCAGCUUGUUGGUGGGGUGAUGGCCUACCAAGGCGACGACGGGUAGCCGGCCUGAGAGGGCGACCGGCCACACUGGGACUGAGACACGGCCCAGACUCCUACGGGAGGCAGCAGUGGGGAAUAUUGCGCAAUGGGCGAAAGCCUGACGCAGCGACGCCGCGUGGGGGAUGAAGGCCUUCGGGUUGUAAACCUCUUUCAGCGCCGAAGAAGCGAAAGUGACGGUAGGCGCAGAAGAAGCACCGGCUAACUACGUGCCAGCAGCCGCGGUAAUACGUAGGGUGCAAGCGUUGUCCGGAAUUAUUGGGCGUAAAGAGCUCGUAGGCGGUCUGUCGCGUCUGCUGUGAAAACUCGGGGCUUAACCCCGGGCCUGCAGUGGGUACGGGCAGACUAGAGUGCGGUAGGGGAGACUGGAAUUCCUGGUGUAGCGGUGAAAUGCGCAGAUAUCAGGAGGAACACCGGUGGCGAAGGCGGGUCUCUGGGCCGUAACUGACGCUGAGGAGCGAAAGCGUGGGGAGCGAACAGGAUUAGAUACCCUGGUAGUCCACGCCGUAAACGUUGGGCGCUAGGUGUGGGGCUCUUUCCACGAGUUCCGUGCCGCAGCAAACGCAUUAAGCGCCCCGCCUGGGGAGUACGGCCGCAAGGCUAAAACUC
rnacentral:rRNA from 1 species